rnacentral:rRNA from 1 species
CAGUAGCCGCGGUAAUGCGUAGGUGGCAAGCGUUGUCCGGAAUUAUUGGGCGUAAAGGGCUCGCAGGCGGUUUCUUAAGUCUGAUGUGAAAGCCCCCGGCUCAACCGGGGAGGGUCAUUGGAAACUGGGAGACUUGAGUGCAGAAGAGGAGAGUGGAAUUCCACGUGUAGCGGUGAAAUGCGUAGAGAUGUGGAGGAACACCAGUGGCGAAGGCGACUCUCUGGUCUGUAACUGACGCUGAGGAGCGAAAGCGUGGGGAGCGAACAGGAUUAGAUACCCCCGUAGUCCCUGUCUCUUAUAA